rnacentral:rRNA from 1 species
CCUACGGGAGGCAGCAGUAGGGAAUAUUGCUCAAUGGGGGAAACCCUGAAGCAGCAACGCCGCGUGGAGGAUGAAGGUUUUCGGAGUGUAAACUCCUUUUGUUAGAGAAGAUAAUGACGGUAUCUAACGAAUAAGCACCGGCUAACUCCGUGCCAGCAGCCGCGGUAAUACGGAGGGUGCAAGCGUUACUCGGAAUCACUGGGCGUAAAGAGCGCGUAGACGGGAUAGCAAGUCAGAUGUGAAAUCCUAUGGCUUAACCAUAGAACUGCAUUUGAAACUGUUAUUCUAGAGUAUGGGAGAGGUAGGUGGAAUUCGUGGUGUAGGGGUAAAAUCCGUAGAGAUCAAGAGGAAUACUCAUUGCGAAGGCGACCUGCUAGAACAUAACUGACGCUGAUGCGCGAAAGCGUGGGGAGCAAACAGGAUUAGAUACCCGAGUAGUC